UAAUACGUAGGGUGCGAGCGUUAAUCGGAAUUACUGGGCGUAAAGCGUGCGCAGGCGGUUGUGCAAGACAGAUGUGAAAUCCCCGGGCUCAACCUGGGAACUGCAUUUGUGACUGCACGGCUGGAGUGCGGCAGAGGGGGAUGGAAUUCCGCGUGUAGCAGUGAAAUGCGUAGAUAUGCGGAGGAACACCGAUGGCGAAGGCAAUCCCCUGGGCCUGCACUGACGCUCAUGCACGAAAGCGUGGGGAGCAAACAGGAUUAGAUACCCUGGUAGUCCACGCCCUAAACGAUGUCGACUAGUUGUUGGACGGCUUGCUGUUCAGUAACGUAGCUAACGCGUGAAGUCGACCGCCUGGGGAGUACGGCCGCAAGGUUG
rnacentral:rRNA from 1 species